GGCUCAAUGGUCUAGUGGUAUGAUUCCUGCUUUGGGUUCUUCACCCUUCUAUUAUAUAGAUUGCAGGAGGCCCCGGGUUCAAAUCCCGGUUGAGCCC
rnacentral:tRNA from 1 species